rnacentral:rRNA from 1 species
AUGGAUUGGAACCCUCAAGUGUUGUGCUGGAACAUGAGGGGUCUCAACAACCCCGCCAAGAGAAACAUUGUCCGGGAGUUUGUAGUCGAGGCUAAGGUGAACCUUGUUUGUCUUCAAGAGACUAAGAUCGAAGUGUUUGACCUGUAUUUGGUGAUGCAAUGCAUUGGACCAUCGUUUGAUGGUUUCGCUUAUUUACCUGCAUUGGAUACUAGGGGUGGCAUCCUCUUGGGAUGGAACAGUGCGUACUUAGCGAUAAACAACAUCACUCGCGACACUAAUUUUCUCUCCAGUUUGGUUCAUAGCAAGGAUGGCUCGGAAUGGUGGUUGUCGGCGGUGUACGCCCCCCAAGGGGAUUAG